UGGAACCACCUGAUCCCUUCCCGAACUCAGAAGUGAAACGACGCAUCGCCGAUGGUAGUGUGGGGUCUCCCCAUGUGAGAGUAGGUCAUCGUCAAGC
rnacentral:rRNA from 1 species